rnacentral:pre_miRNA from 1 species
GUUAAGGUCAUUUUUCAAUUUCUAGAUAUAAUAUUUUGACUCAACGUCUUAUUUAAAAUAUUUUUGUGAUUAAUAAUUUUAUUGUCACUGGAUGAUAAAACAUAAAUAGUACUUUAUGCGUGACUAGUUUUUUUUAAGUUUUUACAAAGAUUUUAAAUAAGAUGAAUAGUCAAAGCGUUGAACAUAGAAAUCGAAAAAUAAAGUUAUU